rnacentral:rRNA from 1 species
GACAGAGGGUGCAAACGUUGUUCGGAAUUACUGGGCGUAAAGCGUGUGUAGGCGGCCCUGCAAGUCGGAUGUGAAAUCCCACGGCUCAACCGUGGAAGUGCAUUCGAAACUGCAGGGCUAGAGUCCUGGAGAGGAAGGUGGAAUGCUUGGUGUAGAGGUGAAAUUCGUAGAUAUCAAGCGGAACACCGGUGGCGAAGGCGGCCUUCUGGACAGUGACUGACGCUGAGACGCGAAAGCGUGGGGAGCAAACAGG